UACGAACCGUGCGAACGUUGUUCGGAUUCACUGGGCUUAAAGGGCGCGUAGGCGGUCGACCAAGUCUGGGGUGAAAUCUUUCGGCUUAACCGGAAAAGUGCCCCCGAUACUGGCCGGCUAGAGGGAGAUAGGGGCAUGCGGAACUUCCGGUGGAGCGGUGAAAUGCGUAGAUAUCGGAAGGAACGCCGGUGGCGAAAGCGGCGUGCUGGAUCUCUUCUGACGCUGAGGCGCGAAAGCCAGGGGAGCAAACGGG
rnacentral:rRNA from 1 species